CGUCAACGACCCCACCGCCUGCCCGCUGCCCGGUCACGGCAACAGUCCCAUCACGGCGGGCUCCCCCGACGU
rnacentral:sRNA from 1 species